UACGGGGGGGGCAAGCGUUGUUCGGAAUUACUGGGCGUAAAGGGCUCGUAGGCGGCCAACUAAGUCAGACGUGAAAUCCCCAGGCUCAACCUGGGAACUGCGUCUGAUACUGGAUGGCUUGAAUUCGGGAGAGGGAUGCAGAAUUCCAGGUGUGAGCGGUGAAAUGCGUAGAUAUCUGGAGGAAUACCGGUGGCGAAGGCGGCAUCCUGGACCGACAUUGACGCUGAUGAGCGAAAGCUAGGGGAGCAAACGGG
rnacentral:rRNA from 1 species